ACUCCUACGGGAGGCAGCAGUGGGGAAUAUUGCACAAUGGGCGCAAGCCUGAUGCAGCGACGCCGCGUGAGGGAUGACGGCCUUCGGGUUGUAAACCUCUUUCAGUAGGGACGAAGCGCAAGUGACGGUACCUAUAGAAGAAGCACCGGCCAACUACGUGCCAGCAGCCGCGGUAAUACGUAGGGUGCGAGCGUUGUCCGGAAUUACUGGGCGUAAAGAGCUCGUAGGUGGUUUGUCGCGUUGUUCGUGAAAACUCACAGCUCAACUGUGGGCGUGCGGGCGAUACGGGCAGACUGGAGUACUGCAGGGGAGACUGGAAUUCCUGGUGUAGCGGUGGAAUGCGCAGAUAUCAGGAGGAACACCGGUGGCGAAGGCGGGUCUCUGGGCAGUAACUGACGCUGAGGAGCGAAAGCGUGGGGAGCGAACAGGAUUAGAUACCCUGGUAGUCCACGCCGUAAACGGUGGGUACUAGGUGUGGGUUUCCUUCCUUGGGAUCCGUGCCGUAGCUAACGCAUUAAGUACCCCGCCUGGGGAGUACGGCCGCAAGGCUAAAACUCAAAGAAAUUGACGGGGGCCCGCACAAGCGGCGGAGCAUGUGGAUUAAUUCGAUGCAACGCGAAGAACCUUACCUGGGUUUGACAUGCACAGGACGACUGCAGAGAUGUGGUUUCCCUUGUGGCCUGUGUGCAGGUGGUGCAUGGCUGUCGUCAGCUCGUGUCGUGAGAUGUUGGGUUAAGUCCCGCAACGAGCGCAACCCUUGUCUCAUGUUGCCAGCGGGUAAAGCCGGGGACUCGUGAGAGACUGCCGGGGUCAACUCGGA
rnacentral:rRNA from 1 species